UGAAGGUUAGGCGGACAUCUUAGGGAGAGGAUGGUGGCUGGACUGGUGUGAGGAGGUGCUGCACAGGUUACCUGUAAAAGCCACUGUCCCCAUGACUGGAGUUAGAGAAAUGGCAACCAGAGAUCUCAGCUGACAUGGGAGUGUGGUGAUGUAGCUCCCAUCCCCUAUAGGGGCAGACUGGAGGCAGUUCCCAGUCUGGGAAAGGGGACGGUGCUCCAGUGAACACAGUGAACAGGAGCUGAGUCCGCCAUUACCACCUUCCCUGGCAGGGAAUUCCACAUCCUGAUUGCACUAACAGUGAAGAACCCUUUCCUCCGUUGCAUUCAGAACUUUCUCUCCUCCAGUCGCAGCGAGUGCCCACGUGUCCUAAACUGUGUUCUUUUAAUAAAGAAUUCCUCUGAUAA